GGUCAAGCGACUAAGUGCAUGUGGUGGAUGCCUUGGCGAUUACAGGCGAUGAAGGACGUGGCAGCCUGCGAAAAGCUGCGGGGAGCUGGCAAACGAGCAUUGAUCCGCAGAUGUCCGAAUGGGGAAACCCGGCCCGCAAGGGUCACCGCCGUCUGAAUCUAUAGGACGGAGGGAGCGAACCCGGUGAACUGAAACAUCUCAGUAGCCGGAGGAACAGAAAUCAACCGAGAUUCCCAGAGUAGUGGCGAGCGAAAUGGGACGAGCCGUCGCGAUUUAGCAUGUGUUUCAGGGGAACGGUCUGGAAAGGCCGGCCGCAGUGGGUGAUAGCCCCGUACCUGAAGGGACGCAUGUGGAACCAGGCGCGAGAGAAGUAGGGCGGGACACGUGAAAUCCUGUCUGAAGAUGGGGGGACCAUCCUCCAAGGCUAAAUACUCGUAAUCGACCGAUAGUGAACCAGUACCGUGAGGGAAAGGCGAAAAGAACCCCGGGAGGGGAGUGAAAUAGAUCCUGAAACCGCAUGCAUACAAACAGUCGGAGUCCCUGCUUCAAGUGCUUUGCCCUUGCAGCAGGGCAGGUAUCAGAGGUCAGGUAUCAGGUAUCAGAGGUUAAUGCGCGCCGCGAUUGCGGCGCGGUGAUUGACUCUGAUUCCUGAUUCCUGAUUCCUGACAUCUGUCCUGCUUCAAAAGCAGAGCUUUUGAAGCAGGGAUGACGGCGUACCUUUUGUAUAAUGGGUCAGCGACUUACGUUUACCAGCGAGCUUAACCGUAUAGGGGAGGCGCAGCGAAAGCGAGUCCGAACAGGGCGUUUGAGUUGGUAGGCGUAGACCCGAAACCGGAUGAUCUACCCAUGGCCAGGCUGAAGGUGGGGUAACACUCACUGGAGGGCCGAACCCACUAGUGUUGAAAAACUAGGGGAUGAGCUGUGGGUAGGGGUGAAAGGCUAAACAAAUCCGGAAAUAGCUGGUUCUCUCCGAAAACUAUUUAGGUAGUGCCUCAAGUAUCACCCUCGGGGGUAGAGCACUGUAAUGGUUGCGGGGGUCAUUGUGACUUACCGCGCCAUAGCAAACUCCGAAUACCGAGGAGUGCGAGCUUGGGAGACAGACAACGGGUGCUAACGUCCGAUGUCAAGAGGGAAACAACCCAGACCGCCAGCUAAGGUCCCCAAGACACAGUUAAGUGGGAAACGAGGUGGGAAGGCACAGACAGCCAGGAUGUUGGCUUAGAAGCAGCCAUCAUUUAAAGAAAGCGUAAUAGCUCACUGGUCGAGUCGUCCUGCGCGGAAGAUGUAACGGGGCUCAAACUGUGCACCGAAGCUGCGGGUUUCAGGGAACAGAGUUCAGGAAUCAGGAAUCAGAAUGGGCGUGCAUCGAUUUGAAGAACUCGAUGUGUUCCAGCGGGCGUACAAGCUGUCGUUGGAAUUGCAUCGGGUAUCGUUGACGAUGCCGCUGCUGGAGCAGGCUGCGCUGGCGGAUCAAUUGCGGCGAGCGAGCAAAUCCAUAUGCGCGAAUUUGGCGGAGGGCUUUGGUAAGCAGGCCCAGUCCAAGGCCGAAUUCAAGCGUUUCAUUCUGAUGAGUAUCGGAUCCGCCGAUGAAAUGAGGGUGUGGAUUCGUUACUGUGUAGAUUUGGGAUACAUAGACGAGGCGACUUGGCAGCGCUGGCGCGACGAGUACGAAGCGAUCGCGAAGAUGCUGCAAGGGUUGUGGGCCAAAGUCUGAUCCCUGAUCCCUGACCUCUGUUCCCUGAGACGGUAGGAGAGCGUUCCGUAGGCCUGUGAAGGUGAGGGGUAACCCUUGCUGGAGGUAUCGGAAGUGCGAAUGCUGACAUGAGUAGCGAUAAAGCGGGUGAAAGGCCCGCUCGCCGAAAGCCCAAGGUUUCCUACGCCACGUUCAUCGGCGUAGGGUGAGUCGGCCCCUAAGGUGAGGACGAGAGUCGUAGCCGAUGGGAAGCGGGUUAAUAUUCCCGCACCGAUUUGGAAUGCGAUGGGGGGACGGAGAAGGUUACCUCGGCCGGGUGUUGGACGUCCCGGUUUAAGCGUGUAGGCGUGGCCCUUAGGCAAAUCCGGGGGUCUUAGCUGAGGCGUGAUGACGAGGCCUGGCUUGCCAGGCUGAAGUGAGCGAUACCCUGCUUCCAGGAAAAGCCUCUAAGCUUCAGUUCCAAGUUGACCGUACCGCAAACCGACACAGGUGGGCAGGAUGAAUAUUCUAAGGCGCUUGAGAGAACUCAGGAGAAGGAACUCGGCAAAUUUGCACCGUAACUUCGGGAUAAGGUGCGCCCCUGGUAGGUGAAGGCGUACAGCCGGAGCCGAGAGGGGCCGCAGUGAAAUGGUGGCUGCGACUGUUUAACAAAAACACAGCACUCUGCUAACACGAAAGUGGACGUAUAGGGUGUGACGCCUGCCCGGUGCCGGAAGGUUAAAUGAUGGGGUGCAAGCUCUUGAUUGAAGCCCCGGUAAACGGCGGCCGUAACUAUAACGGUCCUAAGGUAGCGAAAUUCCUUGUCGGGUAAGUUCCGACCUGCACGAAUGGCGUAACGAUGGCCACACUGUCUCCUCCUGAGACUCAGCGAAGUUGAAGUGUUUGUGAAGAUGCAAUCUCCCCGCGGCAAGACGGAAAGACCCCGUGCACCUUUACUGUAGCUUUGCAUUGGACUGUGACAAGACUUGUGUAGGAUAGCUGGGAGCCGAUGAAGCGCUGUCGCUAGAUGGCGUGGAGGCAACGUUGAAAUACCAGCCUGGUGUUGUUGCGGUUCUAACCUGGGUCCCUUAUCGGGAUCGGGGACCGUGCAUGGUAGGCAGUUUGACUGGGGCGGUCUCCUCCCAAAGCGUAACGGAGGAGCUCGAAGGUUGCCUAGGUACGGUCGGACAUCGUACUGAUAGUGCAAUGGCACAAGGCAGCUUGACUGCGAGACUGACAAGUCGAGCAGGUGCGAAAGCAGGACAUAGUGAUCCGGUGGUUCUGUAUGGAAGGGCCAUCGCUCAACGGAUAAAAGGUACGCCGGGGAUAACAGGCUGAUACCGCCCAAGAGUUCAUAUCGACGGCGGUGUUUGGCACCUCGAUGUCGGCUCAUCACAUCCUGGGGCUGUAGCCGGUCCCAAGGGUAUGGCUGUUCGCCAUUUAAAGUGGUACGUGAGCUGGGUUCAAAACGUCGUGAGACAGUUUGGUCCCUAUCUGCCGUGGGCGUUGGAGAUUUGACGGGGGCUGCUCCUAGUACGAGAGGACCGGAGUGGACGUACCGCUGGUGUACCGGUUGUGACGCCAGUCGCAUUGCCGGGUAGCUAUGUACGGAAGCGAUAACCGCUGAAAGCAUCUAAGCGGGAAACGUGCCUGAAGAUGAGAUCUCCCGGGGCCUUGAGCCCCCUGAAGGGUCGUGGCAGACCACCACGUUGAUAGGCCGGGUGUGGAAGGGCAGUAAUGCCUUGAGCUAACCGGUACUAAUUGCCCGUGCGGCUUGACCCC
rnacentral:rRNA from 1 species